ensembl:lncRNA
UUUCCUUCCCCUGUUGCUGCUUCUAAGCUGUAUUCAGAAGUUUUUUUGCUGAAGGGACCUUGUUGCUGCUUUGGAUGUCUGCAAGCACAGGAAAUCCGUCAUGUGAUUUGAGUUAGACAGGAAAUGCUUUUCGUCACUGGUCAGUUUCAUGAUGCCGUGAACAGAAGCGCUUCUGCUCCAAGUGAUUUAUCAACGGGCUGGGAUGGAAGCAUACAGUUCUUGUUUAGUCCACCUAAAAACUCAAGAAUGUGAAUACUACAGUACAGUUACCUUAAUUACUGUAACGUGCCUACAUUUUCAGGCUGCCUUCCAUCAUAUUACCCUCUGUGCUUCAAAAAUUUAUUUUGUGUACUUCGUAUUUAAUACACAGAAUGAGCACUUUUUUUGUUUUAAAUUGCAGAAAGAUACAUGCGAUAUUUCCCUGACAACAGCUGAGAAUUGUAAGAACAAGGAAUUGUGAUUUCCAGAAUGCUUGGCAAAGGUGCAUGUGCCAGAGUGAACUGCGUAUGAAAAGGCCAUGCUUUUUGUGUUUAUUUUCCUCUGGCUAAAGGAAAAAAGUGCAAACACUUUGUCACAUUUGCAUUGAUGUAAUGUAUGGUCAGUCUUUUCUGUGUGCUUCAAAAAGUUCUCUCAAGAAAUACAAAUCUUGUAGUGGGAUUUUAUAAAUACUGUACUUGUAUGUUCUGUCUAUGUAAUAGCCAGUCAGUGGUAGUAAAGGAGUUGGACUGCAGCCCCCUGCAGUAUCCUUGGGAUUUUCGAGAAACAAAAUCCAAUGUCUGGUACUACAGCGCCAAAUCUGGAUGGCAGACUGUGACCACUGAAAGUGAUAGGUGAAUUUGGUCUUGGACUCCGGGUCUUCAAUAGCCUCAGUUAUUGUUACGGUAAUGAGGUAACCGAAUAUGGGUAUUUCUUAGGUGCUAAAGUAAAAGGUCUGAUCCUGCUUUCCUGUAUGCCUUUAUACAUUAGAAACAGCUCUUUAUUUCUUCAAGGUAAAGGACUGCAUUGAAAAUGUCAGUAAAACCAAUGUGGAAAACACAGAAGCUUUGUUAGGCUGAAAGAAUACACAAUGAGAGUAUAAUGGAGAAAGGUUUGGAAUACCGUUGUCUGUGUACUACAAAGAUUACUGAGUUAUUCCUGUCCUGAGACAGUAACUCCUUAAAGCACAAACUUGUAUGAAUGUGGUUACUGCUUCUGAUGGAUUAGGUAGAGACAGUGUGCUUCUCUGGACACAGAGUGUGGUUAAUCAGCAGUCUGGCUAGUCCCUCUACAGGUAAUGGAGAGCUGGUUCCCUGCUCUCACAGCUGAAAAGAAUUACAUAUAUAGGGGAGAGCAAAGUCAAGACCGUCGUUGUGAAAGCGAACGCUAUGAAUUUUUCCCUUGAAUGUGUGUAUCUUACUUGCACAGCUCUGAGUGAUAGAAUGAAACAAGUGAUUAUUUUCUCCUAAAAAUGUAAUCUAUAUUCUACUAUUCACCUUUACAUGGUCUUGCUCUUUAGAAAAUAAGCCUAUUUUUCUAAGUCAGUAUUUCUUCUAAAGGCUGAGAUUAGUCUUUUUCAUACUCUGAUUCUGAUCAUUCCACAAAGAAGAUGGUAGAAACCUGAUGUUAUUUUUUCAUAGAGGAUUAAUUAGAUGUGUGGCUAUCCUUAAACUUUGCUCAGUGGCCCCUGGAUGUAUAUGUAGUGCAUAUUCUGAAGCACUAAAGGUCAUUGUGUUUUGUUAUCGUAAUUAACGGUUGUCAGAACAUUUUCUGAAGUUGUUUUUUUGUGGGUUGUCUUGUUUGUUUGUUUGUUUGUUUGUUUUUGUAUCUUGCACCUCCAUUCUUAUUCACUUGUUACUACAUGUAAAAAGAAUCUUUUAUAGUCAGGCAUUCAGUGCAUAGUAAGAUUAAAUGUUGAAAGUUGACACACAGCAAUAUUGAUUAUUCUGUAUGUUUCGUGCGUUAAAUUUCUUGUCCCUGUGGGACAAUUAUAACAUAAACAUAACAGGAGUCUUGCAAAACAGCCUCAAGAGAAUUAGUGGCUCAGUAAAGGGAGAGUACCAAAAUGUUCUCAGCAAACUUGUUCUGAACCUCAAGUACAGUACAUCUGCAAUGCUGUGCAAGAAUAAAACUUUUCUUGGUUGUUAGAUGUAUGUUUUGUUCUGUAGAAAGGGAUCCCUGAAUGCUGACAUUUUUCUACUGACCUUGACUGUCAUUGGGAUUAUAUUUAUUUAAUUUUAUUGUGUUAUUAAUUGCACCUUGUGGACAGAGGACGUAAACGUGGUCAGUUUCACAAGGGGCCACCAUUUAUAGAUAGCCUGACGGUUUUUGUGUGAAUAAUAUUUACAUUUGAAACAGCUGUUGAAGAAAUCCUAUAUCCAAAUCAGCAGAAAGCAGACCUCCUGAAAAUGUUUUUAGAAAGAAAAUAACAAUUCUUACAGAUUUUGAACAUAGCUUUGGAACAGAGCAUGAAUUGCUUUAAAACAUGUACUUUCUCAGAAGGUCUGUGUAAUUCCACAUUGCUGUUGUGUGUGAGUUUUUAAUCUCCUUGCUUGUGAGGUUUCUGUGUCCAAAGGCAAGUCGCUUUUCCCCCAUUGUUCUCUCUGUUCUGCUCUGCUCCUUUACAUCUGUAUGAUCUGGUGGAGGUGAGUGGAGUUGCAUAGCUGUGACUCAGCACGUCUUCUUCUGACAGUGUGACGGUCCUCCCAACCCAAAAAAAAAACCAAAUAAAACACGAAUCCUCUUUCUCUUCAUCACAUUUCAUUGCCCCCUCCAAGGUCACCUCCACAAGACAUCUAAAACUCCUAGUAGUGGGAAAGCUAGGGAAAAGACUGUUUUGUGGACACCGAUGUCAAUACUGUAUGCAUGUGGAAACCUCUUCAAAAGAGAAAAGCAUUAAGAAGUAUAGAGGCACAAUGAUGCAUUUUUGUCCUCUCUGUGAUCAGUAUUGAAAACAUUACCAUUUAUUUAAAAAUAAAAAGGUAUUUUCCCUCCUCAGUUACUCUGCUAUGCAAACAUCUGUUAUGCUUAAUAUUCCCCAUCUGAACUCGUCAGUUAACUUGGUUUGCAGAUAGACUUUUUCCUGGAGUGGGUUGUAAAUAGCCUUUAAUGUACAUUGAAUGAAUUUCACAUUGUAAAAUUUUUAUUUUAUUCCUUGUAUUAUAUUAAGUGAAAAUCCCUGUGUAUAUGAAAGUGCAUAAUAAAUAUAUUUGCUUUUCAGCAG